UGGGGAAUCUUGCGCAAUGGGCGAAAGCCUGACGCAGCAACGCCGCGUGAGCGAAGAAGGCCUUCGGGUUGUAAAGCUCUGUCAGGGGGAAAGAAGGCACCUGGGUUAAUAGCCCAAGGGCUGACGGUACCCCCAAAGGAAGCCACGGCUAACUACGUGCCAGCAGCCGCGGUAAUACGUAGGUGGCAAGCGUUGUCCGGAAUCAUUGGGCGUAAAGAGCGCGUAGGUGGCUUGUCAGGUCUGAUGUGAAAACUUGGGGCUCAACCCCAAGCCUGCAUCGGAAACCGGCUUGCUAGAGUCUGGGAGAGGAGAGUGGAAUUCCUGGUGUAGCGGUGAAAUGCGUAGAUAUCAGGAGGAACACCGGUAGCGAAGGCGGCUCUCUGGAACAGUACUGACGCUGAGGCGCGAAAGCUAGGGGAGCGAACAG
rnacentral:rRNA from 1 species